rnacentral:rRNA from 1 species
UACGGAGGGUGCGAGCGUUGUUCGGAAUCACUGGGCGUAAAGCGCGUGUAGGCGGUCUGUUAAGUCUGAUGUGAAAGCCCGGGGCUCACCCCCGGAAGUGCAUUGGAAACUGACAGACUGGAGUCCCGGAGAGGAGGGUGGAAUUCCUGGUGUAGCGGUGAAAUGCGUAGAUAUCAGGAGGAACACCGGUGGCGAAGGCGGCCCUCUGGACGGUGACUGACGCUGAGACGCGAAAGCGUGGGGAGCAAACAGG